UCUUGCAAGUCACGUUCAUAAUCCAACAACAGGAAACCUGUCUCCGAGAUCAGAUAACGAGGGCCGUUCUAGAGGUGGGACAACUAAUGCAAACUCUCAGGCAAGGAGGAAAGAUAAAGGGAAGGGACUUGCAUUUUUUAAGCCUAAAAAUAAAGCCCGGAAUAUUGGUGUGGUGAUAAGAGAGCCAUUAGAAACAAAUGGGAGUCGAGUUGAUAUUCAUGAAGAAGCCAAUGUUAUUGUUGAUCAGCAGGUAGAUGCUAUUGACCGGCCAAAAUUCUCGGAUGAAGCAAGUACUUCAAGAACUGCUCGUGGAGCAGACUAGCAUCUUUCUGAACAAAUAGUUCAGCGCAUUUCUUUGUUUUCCACUAUACAAAGGAGUGCAAGGUCCUUUCCAUGACUAUGGCUUUGCAAUAUGAUGUUACAGAGAUUGUCUGCAGGAAAAUUUUGAAAAGGGUGCAUUUGGAUCUUUAAUUGAUGAAAGGUGCGUAUUAUUGAUUGCUUAUUUUAAAAAUAAUUUGUGACUUGGGUACUACAUACACUACUACUAUUCUACGUGAUAAAUUGUAUAUUGUAAAAUAAC